CGUGGGUAACCUGCCCAAGAGAUCGGGAUAACACCUGGAAACAGAUGCUAAUACCGGAUAACAACAGAUGAUGCCUAUCAACUGUUUAAAAGAUGGUUCUGCUAUCACUCUUGGAUGGACCUGCGGUGCAUUAGCUAGUUGGUAGGGUAACGGCCUACCAAGGCGAUGAUGCAUAGCCGAGUUGAGAGACUGAACGGCCACAUUGGGACUGAGACACGGCCCAAACUCCUACGGGAGGCAGCAGCC
rnacentral:rRNA from 1 species